AGAACCUGCUGUGUGACUGUGGAGUUGGUAAAGGCCCUACUGAAUGAGCUGGCCUCCGUGAAGGUGAAUGAGGUGGUGCGGUACGAGGCGGGCUACGUGGUAUGCGCUGUGAUCGCGGGCCUCUACCUGCUGCUGGUGCCCACUGCCGGGCUUUGCUUCUGCUGCUGCCGCUGCCACCGGCGCUGCGGGGGACGAGUGAAGACAGAGCACAAGGCGCUGGCCUGUGAGCGCGCGG
rnacentral:lncRNA from 10 species